rnacentral:rRNA from 1 species
GUGGGGAAUCUUCCGCAAUGGACGAAAGUCUGACGGAGCAACGCCGCGUGAACGAUGACGGCCUUCGGGUUGUAAAGUUCUGUUAUACGGGACGAAUGGUACGACGGCCAAUACCCGUCGUAAGUGACGGUACCGUAAGAGAAAGCCACGGCUAACUACGUGCCAGCAGCCGCGGUAAUACGUAGGUGGCAAGCGUUGUCCGGAAUUAUUGGGCGUAAAGGGCGCGCAGGCGGCGUCGUAAGUCGGUCUUAAAAGUGCGGGGCUUAACCCCGUGAGGGGACCGAAACUGCGAUACUAGAGUAUCGGAGAGGAAAGCGGAAUUCCUAGUGUAGCGGUGAAAUGCGUAGAUAUUAGGAGGAACACCAGUGGCGAAAGCGGCUUUCUGGACGACAACUGACGCUGAGGCGCGAAAGCCAGGGGAGCAAACGGGAUUAGAAACCCGGGUAGUCC